rnacentral:rRNA from 1 species
GACGAACGCUGGCGGCGUGCUUAACACAUGCAAGUCGAGCGGAAAGGCCACUUCGGUGGUACUCGAGCGGCGAACGGGUGAGUAACACGUGAGUAAUCUGCCCCUGGCUUUGGGAUAACCACCGGAAACGGUGAUUAAUACCGGAUACGACCACUUCUCGCAUGGGAUGGUGGAGGAAAGUUUUUUCGGCCAGGGAUGUGCUCGCGGCCUAUCAGCUUGAUGGUGAGGUAAUGGCUCACCAUGGCUUCGACGGGUAGCCGGCCUGAGAGGGUGACCGGUCACACUGGGACUGAGACACGGCCCAGACUCCUACGGGAGGCAGCAGUGGGGAAUAUUGGACAAUGGGCGGAAGCCUGAUCCAGCAACGCCGCGUGAGGGAUGACGGCCUUCGGGUUGUAAACCUCUUUCAGCAGGGACGAAGCGCAAGUGACGGUACCUGCAGAAGAAGCACCGGCCAACUACGUGCCAGCCGCCGCAGUAA